rnacentral:rRNA from 1 species
AGCGUCUAUGUAGCUGCCUUGGCGUUCGGCCUCGUUCCGCACUUGGCCGUGUGCCUCCGGCGUCCCAAGGACCUCUGGCGCUACUACGACACGUGGGCUGUCAUCCCAGGGCCAACAUCCGGCAUUGGCUGGUCCCUGGCCGUGGAGCUCGCCCGCAGUGGGCUGAACCUUAUCCUGUCCGGCCGAGACUCGGCCAAGCUCCGCGACAUCUCCCGGGCGAUAUGCAGGGCCGUUCCCACCGUGAAGACCAAGACUCUAGUCUUGGACAUGUCGCUCCUCGCCACCGCCCACGGCGACGAGGCGAUGCGGUGGCUGCGGCAGACCGUGGAGGCGCUGGACGUCGGCGUGCUGGUGAACAACGCCGGCGUGCUGGAGCCCAGGGCGGUGUUCCUGCACGAGGCCGGUGUGGAGGAGUGGGUGGAUAUGAUACGGGUGAACCUGUUGGGGCUGACGGAGGUGACGGCGGUGGUGAUUCCGGGCAUGGUGGUGCGCGGGAGGGGAGCUGUGGUCAACUUGGGCUCGGCCUCGUCAGAGGCCAUCCCCUCCUUACCCCUUUACACCAUGUACGCCGCCACUAAACGCUAUGUUGCCCGGUUCUCUAAGAGUCUUCACGUCCAAUAUACGGAGUAG